UACAUGUUAGUGACCCGAUGGAACGAAGAAAGCCUACGUUAGGUUAACUCCAGACUACGAUGCUUUGGAUGUUGCUAACAAGAUUGGAAUAAUCUAAGGUAAAAUGUCGUGUCAGUUUAAAGGGAGAAUGUAUGCUCACCGUGACAGUUUUGUUAGUUUCAUGUUCUUGAAUACUAAUUCAAGUUUAAUGUGAGUAUUUUCAAUCUGGAUUCAACUUUUGUUAUAGUUGCUGUUUUAAUUAUUGUUUUUAUGGAGCUCUUGCUGAAGGAAAUAGCAUUUGUUAAUUGUUU
rnacentral:lncRNA from 1 species